rnacentral:rRNA from 1 species
AGAGUUUGAUCCUGGCUCAGGACGAACGCUGGCGGCGUGCCUAAUACAUGCAAGUCGUACGAAUCGAAGGGGAGCUUGCUCCCUGGACGUUAGUGGCGAACGGGUGAGUAACACGUGGGUAACCUGCCCUUAAGCGGGGGAUAACAUCCGGAAACGGGUGCUAAUACCGCAUAGUUUCCCUCUCCACAUGGAGGGGGAAGGAAAGACGGCCUUUGUGCUGUCGCUUAGGGAUGGACCCGCGGCGUAUUAGUUAGUUGGUAGGGUAACGGCCUACCAAGGCGAUGAUACGUAGCCGACCUGAGAGGGUGAUCGGCCACAUUGGGACUGAGACACGGCCCAAACUCCUACGGGAGGCAGCAGUAGGGAAUCUUCCGCAAUGGACGAAAGUCUGACGGAGCAACGCCGCGUGAGUGAAGAAGGUUUUCGGAUCGUAAAACUCUGUUGUCGGAGAAGAACAAGCAGGAAAGGAACUGUUCCUGCCUUGACGGUACCCGACCAGAAAGCCACGGCUAACUACGUGCCAGCAGCCGCGGUAAUACGUAGGUGGCAAGCGUUGUCCGGAUUUAUUGGGCGUAAAGCGAGCGCAGGCGGUUCCUUAAGUCUGAUGUGAAAGCCCGCGGCUUAACCGCGGAAUGGCAUUCGAAACCGGAGGGCUUGAGUGUCGGAGAGGGUAGUGGAAUUCCCAGUGUAGCGGUGAAAUGCGUAGAUAUUGGGAGGAACACCAGUGGCGAAGGCGACUACCUGGACGAUAACUGACGCUGAGGCACGAAAGCUAGGGGAGCAAACAGGAUUAGAUACCCUGGUAGUCCUAGCCGUAAACGAUGGGUACUAGGUGUGGGUGGUUUCGAUACCAUCCGUGCCGUAGUUAACGCAUUAAGUACCCCGCCUGGGGAGUACGUGCGCAAGCAUGAAACUCAAAUGAAUUGACGG